rnacentral:rRNA from 1 species
CAAAACUUUCAACAACGGAUCUCUUGGUUCUGGCAUCGAUGAAGAACGCAGCGAAAUGCGAUACGUAAUGUGAAUUGCAGAAUUCCGUGAAUCAUCGAAUCUUUGAACGCACAUUGCGCCCGCCAGCAUUCUGGCGGGCAUGCCUGUUCGAGCGUCA